ACCAGGCACAGUGGUGUGUGCCUGUAAUCCCAGCAAUUUGGGAGGCUGGGGCAGGAGGAUAGCAAGUUUGAGGCAUGCCUCAGCAAUUUAGCAAGACCCUGUCUCAU
rnacentral:sRNA from 1 species